rnacentral:tRNA from 1 species
GGAGAGAUGCGAGAGUGGUUGAAUCGGACGGUCCCGAAAACCGUUGAACUCGCAAGGGUUCCGAGGGUUCGAAUCCCUCUCUCUCCG